rnacentral:rRNA from 1 species
UACGAAGGGGGCUAGCGUUGUUCGGAAUUACUGGGCGUAAAGCGCACGUAGGCGGACAUUUAAGUCAGGGGUGAAAUCCCAGAGCUCAACUCUGGAACUGCCUUUGAUACUGGGUGUCUUGAGUAUGGAAGAGGUAAGUGGAAUUCCGAGUGUAGAGGUGAAAUUCGUAGAUAUUCGGAGGAACACCAGUGGCGAAGGCGGCUUACUGGUCCAUUACUGACGCUGAGGUGCGAAAGCGUGGGGAGCAAACAGG